AAGCGCAGACACGGGGGCCGUAUGGCUGAGAGGAAGCAAGCGCUUCAACCGUAUGAACGUAUACCGGGUAAUGCCGGCGCACGGACGUCUCUCUUUUCCCGUG
rnacentral:ncRNA from 1 species